rnacentral:rRNA from 1 species
AUUGAACGCUGGCGGCAUGCUUUACACAUGCAAGUCGAACGGUAACAGGCCUUCGGGUGCUGGCGAGUGGCGAACGGGUGAGUAAUGCAUCGGAACGUGCCCAGAGGUGGGGGAUAACGCAGCGAAAGCUGUGCUAAUACCGCAUGUGAUCUGAGGAUGAAAGCGGGGGACCAAGCAGCAAUGUUUGGCCUCGCGCCUCUGGAGCGGCCGAUGUCAGAUUAGGUAGUUGGUGGGGUAAAGGCCUACCAAGCCGACGAUCUGUAGCUGGUCUGAGAGGACGACCAGCCACACUGGGACUGAGACACGGCCCAGACUCCUACGGGAGGCAGCAGUGGGGAAUUUUGGACAAUGGGCGCAAGCCUGAUCCAGCAAUGCCGCGUGCGGGAAGAAGGCCUUCGGGUUGUAAACCGCUUUUGUACGGAACGAAAAGGCUCUGGCUAAUACCUGGGGCUGAUGACGGUACCGUAAGAAUAAGCACCGGCUAACUACGUG